AAGCUUAUUGUCAUAUAGCCCAUUCAUUGGGAGAUGAAGACAAACAAAAAAUUGAGAGUAACACAGUGGAAGAUAUCAAGAGCACAGUGAAAGGUCAUCCUCAAGAAAAUGAAGAGAAUUCAAAAAACAUCUCUACUAUGGAAUCUGAUCUGCCCACAGUAGAGGAGCUGAUGAAACCUAUCAGAAUAGAUUCCUUUGGGAUCAGUGGUUUUGAUUUACAACCUGUCAGCUCUGAGAAAGUGGCCGAAAGAAAAGAAACUGAAUUUUUUAGCUCUUUACCCCUGAAGAUGAACCCAAAUAUUAUAUCUCAAGACUCACAACAUGUGAACCUUUUUUUUGACAAAAAUGAUGAGAAUGUGAUUUUACAAAAGACCACAAAUGAGAGUAUGGAAGACAGCUGUCCACAAGUAACUGCCACAGAAGAACAUGUUGAUAAAAUGUACCUUAAUAUUUUGAGGAAAAAAAUAUCUGUUAAUUCUUCAUCAUCUCAGGAUGACAAAAUUAGUAAAACUUACAGAUCUCAACUUAGUUCUGAAGAAGAAGGGGCUGUAAUGGGUAAACAGGUACCAUACAAGAAGGCCAGAAGUGCACCUCCUUUACUUAAAAGGAAACCCCAGAGUGGAUUAUAUGCGUCAGUUAGGAGCUCAGGCUAUGGCAAACCCAGUUCACCACUCAAGAUGUUUUCUACUCUUGAAAAGAAAACUUCAGAGGAAAUUAUAAAAAGCAAAAACUUGAGAUCGAUUUCCACCUCCAGUCAACCUAGGAAAAAAGAAAUCUUAUCUGGAACAAAACUCAUCAAGCCUGCAGCUUUGGAUAAACCAACUCCCAAAACUGAAAGUUGCCUGUCUACUCCUAAGAAGUCUGAAAAUCCCACAGAAACUGAUUCCUGUAUUCAGUUUCAGACUGUAGGAUUCCUUAGGAUACUGUGGUGAGAACAAGGAGAAGGAAUUACUUAUGUUUAAAAGAGUUCAGGAAGCAGAGGAAAAAUGGAGGGGUGCACAAGCCUUAAUUGAGCAAAUUAAAGCCACAUUCUCAGAAAAGGAGAAAGAACUAGAAAAUAAGUUGGAAGAACUAAAGAAACAACAGGAAAAAGAACUCUUCAAAUUGAAUCAAGAUAAUUAUAUUCUUCAAGCCAAGUUAAGCAGCUUUGAAGAAACAAACAGAAAACAAAGGUGGUUACAUUUUGGAGAAGCAGCUGAUCCUGUCACUGGAGAAAAGUUGAAGCAAAUCCAAAAAGAAAUACAAGAACAAGAGACACUUCUUCAAGGAUAUCAACAGGAAAAUGAACGAUUAUAUAAUCAAGUAAAAGAUCUCCAAGAACAAAACAAGAAAAAUGAGGAGCAAAUGUUUAAGGAAAACCAAAGUUUAUUCAAUGAGGUAGCUUCCUUAAAAGAACAGAUGCACAAAAGUCGUUUUCUGUCUCAAGUAGUUGAAGAUUCAGAGCCCACAAGAAAUCAGAAUUUUACAGAUCUGUUAGCAGAACUACGGAUGGCACAGAAAGAAAAAGACAGUUUAUUGGAAGACAUCAAAAGACUGAAACAAGACAAACAAGCUCUUGAAGUAGACUUGGAAAAAAUGAAGAAAGAGAGGGACCAAGCCAAAGAUCAGAUUGCUUAUGUCACAGGUGAGAAAUUAUAUGAAAUAAAAAUUUUAGAAGAAACACAUAAACAAGAAAUCAGUCGUCUGCAAAAAAGAUUACAGUGGUAUGCUGAAAAUCAGGAACUUCUGGAUAAAGAUGCACUUCGGCUUAGAGAAGCAAAUGAGGAAAUUGAGAAGCUCGAACUUGAGAUUGAGAAACUGAAAGCUGAAUCUGGGAAUCCAUCUGUUCAGCAGAAGAUACGCUUAAAAGAUAAAGCAGCAGAUGCCAAAAAAAUUCAGGAUCUGGAGCGACAAGUUAAGGAAAUGGAAGGGAUUCUGAAGAGAAGAUAUCCCAAUUCUUUACCUGCUUUAAUAUUGGCUGCAUCAGCAGCUGGUGAUACAGUGGAUAAAAAUACAGUGGAAUUUAUGGAGAAAAGGAUAAAAAAGCUAGAAGCUGAUCUGGAGGGCAAAGAUGAAGACGCAAAGAAAAGCCUUCGUACCAUGGAACAACAGUUUCAGAAAAUGAAGAUUCAGUAUGAACAAAGACUAGAGCAGCAGGAGCAGCCACUUGCCUGCAAAUUGAAUCAACAUGACUCUCCCAGAAUUAAAGCACUAGAGAAGGAACUUGAUGACAUCAAGGAAGCCCAUCAGAUCACUGUAAGAAAACUUGAAGCCGAAAUAGACGUUCUUAAACAUCAGAAUGCUGAAUUAGACGUCAAGAAAAAUGAUAAAGAUGAUAAAGAUUUUCAGUCUAUAGAAUUCCAGGUGGAACAGGCUCAUGCUAAAGCUAAAUUAGUAAGACUCAAUGAAGAACUGGCUGCAAAAAAGAGAGAAAUACAAGACCUCUCAAAAACUGUGGAGAGGCUUCAGAAAGACAGAAGAAUGAUACUAUCAAAUCAGAACUCCAAGGGCAGAGAGGAAAUGUCUGCCAAAAGGGCAAAGAAAGAUGUUUUGCACUCAAGUAAAGGAAAUGCUAACUCCUUCCCUGGAACCCUGGACAGCAAGCUUUAUCAACCGCAUACUUUCACUGAUUCCCAUGUUUCAGAAGUUUUACAAGAAAACUACAGAUUAAAAAAUGAGCUAGAGGGAUUAAUUUCAGAGAAGAAUGAACUGAAGAUGAAAUCUGAAGCAGCGAUGAAUCAAUUUGAAAACUCCAUGAGAAGGGUCAAGGAAGAUACUGCAGCACACAUUGCAUCCCUCAAAGCAUCUCAUCAGAGAGAAAUAGAGAAACUCCUUUGCCAAAAUGCAGUAGAAAAUUCUUCUUCCAAAGUAGCUGAACUAAAUCGUAAAAUAGCAACUCAAGAGGUACUUAUAAGACAUUUCCAAAGUCAAGUUAAUGAGCUGCAGAGUAAACAAGAGUCUCUUGUAGUUUCUCAAGUUCGAGAAGAAAUUCUACAGAAAGAGAUUACAAAACUCUUAGAAGAAUUGAGAGAAGCCAAAGAAAACCAUACACCAGAGAUGAAACAUUUCGUGGGCUUAGAAAAGAAAAUUAAGCAGAUGGAAAUGAGACAUGCACAAAGAGAACAGGAACUUCAACAGAUAAUACAGCAAACACACCAAGUAGUAGAAACUGAGCAAAACAAAGAAGUUGAAAAAUGGAAAAGACUGGCACAGUUAAAGAAUUGUGAGCUGGAGAAGUUCCGCACAGAACUAGACUCAAUAUUAGAUGUUCUCCGAGAGCUGCACCGGCAAGGGGUGGUUGUGCCAGUUGCUUUUGCAGAUGAAAUGAAUGUACCAGAGGAUUAAUAGAAACUCAGAUUUCAUAAUGACCUUAUUAAAAGGCCUAAAGAUGGAUGGGAUUGUGCCACUGUCAGGACAGCUUAUGAAAAACAAGUGUUCCAAUAUGUUUCCAGAAAGCAAACAACCAAAGCAACAUUUCAAAAUAAAUUGCCUUUAACCAAUAAGAAAAAAAAGUAUCAUGGUGUAUUUUACUAAAAAUCAUUAACCAGUCUCAUUUUAAGUGAUUUAUGGACAGUCUCCUUUAUAGCAGAGAACGUCUUACUUGUAUGCUAGAAAUAGAAAGAAAAGAAAAUUGAACAUACUCCGCCACAUUUUUAUUGAUAAUGUGAGGUUUUUAAAAUUUUUAUUUUAGAUCCAGGGGGUACAUGUGCUUGUUGUAACAUGGGUGUAUUGAAAAAUGGUGGGAAUUGGGCUUCUAGUGUAUCCAUCACCCAAAUAUUAAACACUGUACCCAAUAGGUAAUAUUUCAACCCUUACUGCCUCUCACACUCUUUCCCCUAUUGGACUCCCCAGUGUCUGUUAUCUCCAUCUUUAUGUCUGUGUGGACCCAUUGUUUAGCUCCUACUUUUAAGUGAGAAUAUAUGCAAUAUUUUAUUUUUUAUGUCUGAUUUAGUUCACAUAGGAUAAUGGCCUCCAGCUCCAUCCAUGUUGCUGUAAAUGACAUGAUUUCAUUCUUUUUUAUAGUUGCAUAAUACUCCAUUUAUAUAUAUCUCUCUAUAUAUAUCUCACGUUUUCUUUAUCCGGUCAAUUGCUGGUAGAUACUUAGGUUGGUUCCAUGAAUUUGCUAUUGUAAAUAUUGCUGCAAUAAACAUACAUAUGCAGAUAUCUUUUUUA
rnacentral:sRNA from 1 species